GGAGGCUGGGAAGUCUAAGGUCAAGGUUCUGGCAGAUUCGGUUGUUGGUGUGAGCUGUCCUCUUGGCUUGCAAUUGGCUGCCUCCUUGCUGUGUCCUCAUGUGGCAGAGAGAGAAGAAGCACUCUGGGCACUCUUCCUUUUCAUAUAAGAAGUUAAUGAUAGCUCUUUCCAUCGAGUGAGACCAAGCAGAAGAGGUGUGGCAACAAUAUCAAAAGCAAAAAUCUAUUGUUGGAGCAGUGCAUCUCCAGUUGAAGAAGAAUGUUGCAAGCAUCCCUUUUAUGUAAUGAAUUAAGUCCAGGCUUCAUAUGAAUGAUGGCUUAAUUGCUGAGAGAAACCAAGCUUUAUGUAAAUCCUUGUCUGUACACCUGUGGCCAAAUCGGAACUUCAUUUACUGUCAUUUAUUUAUAGAGCCAAGUG